ACUCCAGUCGAUGCUGCUGGAGGGCACUGCUAUCAGAUUUCGACAGCCAUGCAAGUCGGCCCUAUGGCUUCAUAGGACGGCGUACGGCUCAGUAACACGUAGUCAAUCUACCGUAGGGAGGCGGAUAACCUUUGGAAACGAAGGGUAAUACACCAUAGGCUAAAGCAUCUGGAAGGAGCUUUAGCUUAAAAGGUACGCAAAUUGCAGCGCAACCGCCUUACGAUGAGACUGCGGCGGAUCAAGCAGAUGGCGGGAUAACGGCCCACCAUACUUAUAACCCGUAGGGGAUGUGGGAGCAUAGGCCCCGAGAAGGGCACUGAGACAAGGGUCCUAGCGCUACGGCGUGCAGCAGGCGCGCAAACUCCACAAUGCGCGAAAGCGUGAUGGGGGGAAUCUGAGUGGUUCACUUCGGUGAACCUUUUGCUAAGUAUAGCAAGCUUGGCGAAUAAGUGCUGGGCAAGACCGGUGGCAGCCGCCACGGUAAUACCGGCAGCACAAGUGGUGUCCACGAUUAUUGGGCUUAAAGCGCUCGUAGCUGGCCCGUGCCGUCUUGCGUGAAAUAUUGGCGCUCAACGUCAAUGCGUGCGUGAGAUACCCAUGGGCUAGGGAGCGGGUGAGGUAAGGAGUACUUAUGGGGAAGGGGUUAAAUCCUGUAAUCCUAUAAGGACUAACGGUGGCGAAGGCGCCUUACCAGAACGCAUCCGACAGUGAGGAGCGAAGGCUAGGAGAACGAAUCGGAUCAGAUACCCGAGUAGCCCUAGCAGUAAAUUAUGCAGACUCUGGUGUUGCAAAUGUCUCGAACGUUUGCAGUACCGUAGCGAAAGUGUUAAGUCUGCCGCCUGGGGAGUACGGCCGCAAGGUUAAAACUUAAAGCAAUUGGCGGGGGAGCACACCAGGGGUGGAUGCUGCGGUUUAAUUGAAUCCAACGUCGGAAAUAUUACCAGGAGCGACGGCAGGAUGAAGGUCAGACUAAAGAUCUUACCUGACGAGCCGAGAGGUGGUGCAUGGCGACCGUCAGCUCGUGGUGCGAACUGUCCGGUUAAGUCCGGUAACGAGCGAGACCCUUAUGAAUAGUUGCAACCGGUUUAGCGAUAAACCGGGCACUCUAUUUGGACCGCCUCUGUUUAAAGAGGAGGAAGGAGGGGGCGACGAUACGUCAGUAUGCCCUGAAUCUCCUGGGCUACACGCGGCAUACAAAGGUCGAUACAAUGAGAUGCAAUGCCGAAAGGCAAAGCCAAACCCCUAAAACCGACCUAAGUUCGGAUUGAGGGCUGAAACUCGCCCUCAUGAAGAUGGGAUCCCUAGUAAUCGCUUGUCACUAUCGAGCGGUGAAUCUGUCCCUGCUCCUUGCACACACCGCCUGCCAAUCCACCCAAGUGGGGUCCUAGUGAGGCAGCAUCUUUAAGAUGCUUUCGAAUUAAGGUUCUGUGAGGGGGGCUAAGGCGUAACAAGGUAUCCGUAGGGGAACCUGCGGAUAGAUCACCUCAA
rnacentral:rRNA from 1 species